rnacentral:rRNA from 1 species
AACGAACGCUGGCGGCAUGCCUAACACAUGCAAGUCGAACGAGACCUUCGGGUCUAGUGGCGCACGGGUGCGUAACGCGUGGGAACCUGCCCUUAGGUUCGGAAUAACUCCCCGAAAGGGGUGCUAAUACCGGAUAAUGUCUUCGGACCAAAGAUUUAUCGCCUUUGGAUGGGCCCGCGUUGGAUAGCUAGUUGAUAGGGUAAAAGCCUACCAAGGCGACGAUCCAUAGCUGGUCUGAGAGGAUGAUCAGCCACACUGGGACUGAGACACGGCCCAGACUCCUACGGGAGGCAGCAGUGGGGAAUAUUGGACAAUGGGCGAAAGCCUGAUCCAGCAAUGCCGCGUGAGUGAUGAAGGCCUUAGGGUUGUAAAGCUCUUUUACCCGGGAUGAUAAUGACAGUACCGGGAGAAUAAGCUCCGGCUAACUCCGUG